UACGUAGGGGGCAAGCGUUGUCCGGAAUCAUUGGGCGUAAAGAGCGUGUAGGCGGUCAGAUAAGUCCGCUGUGAAAUCUCGAGGCUCAACUUCGAGCUGUCGGUGGAAACUGUCUGGCUAGAGUCCGGAAGAGGAGAAUGGAAUUCCUGGUGUAGCGGUGAAAUGCGCAGAUAUCAGGAAGAACACCCGUGGCGAAGGCGGUUCUCUGGGACGGUACUGACGCUGAGGAGCGAAAGCAUGGGGAGCGAACAGG
rnacentral:rRNA from 1 species